rnacentral:rRNA from 1 species
UACGAAGGGGGCUAGCGUUGUUCGGAAUUACUGGGCGUAAAGCGCACGUAGGCGGCUACUUAAGUCAGGGGUGAAAUCCCGGGGCUCAACCUCGGAACUGCCUUUGAUACUGGGUAUCUCGAGUCCGGAAGAGGUGCGUGAAAUUCCGAGUGUAGAGGUGAAAUUCGUAGAUAUUCGGAGGAACACCAGUGGCGAAGGCGGCUCACUGGUCCGGUACUGACGCUGAGGUGCGAAAGCGUGGGGAGCAAACA